rnacentral:misc_RNA from 1 species
UUUCCGUAGGUGAACCUGCGGAAGGAUCAUUAUUGUAUAACCGAGGUGCGAGGGCUGUCGCUGACCCGAAAGGUCGUGCACGCCCGAGUGCCCUCACACACAUCCAUCUCACCCCUAUGUGCACCACCGCGUGGGUCCCCCUUUGGCUUGUUCGGAGGGGGGCUUACGCUUUCACACAAACUUUGUAUGCAGUGUAGAAUGUAUUUUUUGUCUUUGCUAUCACGCAUUCAAUACAACUUUCAACAACGGAUCUCUUGGCUCUCGCAUCGUUGAAGAACC